AUGGCCCGGGCAGGCAGUGCUGAACGCAUCCUUUAUUCUAGAGGCCAGCCCGCUUCGUUCCUGCUCAAAAGAGGAUUUAACCCAGCCUUGGUGAGCAGGUGGCCGACAGCUGCUCCCUGGACAGAGCAAGAGUGUCUCAGCCGCUGCAAAGGGCCCCAGAUGCCGCCCCUCUGCAUGAGAAUGUUCCCUCCCAGCCGAGACAAGUACUAUGCAGAGCUGCCUGCCCAGGGCCCUCUGCCAGGGAAAGAGGUGAGGGUCCUAGACUCCCCUGGCCGCCCGCAAACCCUAGCUCCCUGCUUCUCCAGCGAGUUCCCUGCACCUUAGCAACUGCCCCGCCCGAGUCAGGAAAGGAAAGCUGUUUGCCCUCUGGCCCAGGGUUCAGACUUCACUUGGGCCAGGCCCCAGCGGGGGCUGACGUUUCUUAUGCGUAAUUGCCCCUCAUUCUUCUCCCUGGGAGUCAGCUCCCUUCCUCCCCAGGAUGCAGGGAGAAGAAGCUGGCCCCAACCUAGCGUGCUCCUGUCCCAGGAUUUCUGUGAUGGGAAUGUGAUUGUGAAGCCUGCAGUCCUAGAAGACUGCUUGCCAGCUCCUCAUCCCUUCUUUGCUAUUUUCUGGGAGUAGCUGCCAAUCUAGACCCUGCGGUCUUGUAGAUUUACAUCAUCUGUGCUGUUGGUUACAACUGACUGGAAAACUCUGCUGAAUCCAUUUUUAAAAUACACGGUUGAAAUGAUUUCCCUUAAUACCCCAGCAAACCUCCACAUGGCUAUUUUGUAGUCGAGGCAGGCUCCACUUUAAUCUACUCCAGAGCCACUUACAUUCUCUGCACCUGGAAUGAGAAUAUCCACAUCAGUUAUGUUUCCUGUGUUUCAGCAAAAGCUGCAAGUCAAAACUAUAAUUUUGGUCCCAGGAUGAACUAGAAGGUGCUGGAAGGUGCUUGAUCUGUGAAAUUGGUUUUGAAAGACACAGGGAUUUUUUAAUUCUGCCAAUUCAAAGUCCAGUUAGUUUGUUGCUUUGUCAGUGCCCUUUGAAGAGCCUGUGUGACAAGUGAGUGAUGCCAGUUACAGUUCAUCAUGGCAUCCAUGGUCCUAGUACCUUGGCCAGGGCAGAGCGUCCUCCUCAAUGAAAGGCAUCAUUUCUUGUCUCUAGCUAACCGAGGCCCUGCGUUCCUGCAAGUGUGACUUACACUCACCCACCCCAUAGAU
rnacentral:lncRNA from 1 species